AACCGCACCCGGAGGGUUUGCGGGGCGGAGGGGCCUCAGGGCGACGGUUCCAGAACAGACCCAGGCUGCUCCGGUCAGCAGCAGCCCCGCCGCUCUCCCACCUAGCGGGGACCCCCAGCCCCGCCAGCCGCAUCGCUCUGUCCCUCUCAUGUCAGGCAAGCCAGUUCCGGACCGCGUGGCACCAGGAGCCGCCAGGAGCCGGGGCGACCCAGAGGUCUCCAGCGACCUGGCGUCCGGCGAGGACACAGCCCCCAGGAGGGGUUAGACCACGGGAGCCGGAGCCCGAGUCCCAGGGCCGCCGAGCCAGUUUAGAGUGGUCUCCAGGCCCUAGUGGGAAGGGGCUCCGCGCUUCUGGGCGUCCACAGGAGCUGCAUGGCCCUGCCCGCUGACGCCCGGUCGGGACGCUCCACACCCUGUGUGGGGGCGGAGGGGACGCGGUGGGUGCGGCCUGGGCGCGGGUGGGCUAGAGCCUGGAGACCGCCGGGAGCCCGACUUCCUGGCGCUUUGCCCUUUGGGGAGCGGAGCCAAGGAACAGCGCCAACCUCUCUCCACAAGCCAGGGACCCUACGACCCACCGCCGCAGGCCAGAACCAGCAGCUGAUUUAGAUACCAUCAAGACACCUAAAACCUUAUCAUGAGCCAGAUGCUGUGGAAGAGAUUCUGGGAGAAUCCUGAGGACCCCCCAGUUGCAGCCAUGUCAAGACUGAUGCUGAGGAGGACCCCAACUGUCACGAGCAACACCCGUCGAACACAGCCACCUACUUGGGGAAAGAUCAAGAAGCUGUCACAGAUGGUGGAAGAAAACCUGAGGAAAGCGGGACAACCAGUCACAAUGAGUAAUUUAAUGAUAGCUAUGAGAGCGGUGAUCACCAUUGCGUCUGCAGAUGCAGAUCCUGACUCCUGCGAGAAGUAGCUCACCGUGAUAAAGCUGCCUUUGCUUUUAUUGCCCUGCAAAAACAAGAAGGGGGAUAUGCUGGGGAAUAGGCCCCCAAAUCUGGACAUAAACUGGCCCCAAAACUGGCCAUAAACAAAAUCUCUGCAGCGCUGUGACAUGUUCAUGGUGGCCAUAACGCCCAUGCUGGAAGGCUGUGGUUUACCGGAAUGAGAGCGAGGAACACCUGGCCUAUCCAGGGCGGAAAACCACUUAUAGGUAUUCCUAAACCACAAACAACCUAUGCCUUAAGGACAUGUUCCUGCUGCAGAUAACUAGCCAGAGCCCAUCCCUUUGUUUCGGCCCAUCCUUUUGUUUCCUGUAAGGAGUGCUUUUAGUUAAUCUAUAAUCUAUAGAAACAAUACUUAUCACUGGCUUGCUGUCAAUAAAUAUGUGGGUAAAUCUCUGCUCAUGGCUCUCAGCUCUGAAGGCUGUGAGUCCCCUGAUUUCCCACUCCACAUGCUAUAUUUCUGUGUGUGUGUCUUUAAUUCCUCUAGUGCUGCUGGGUUAGGGUCUCCACGACCGAGCUGGGCUUGGCAAACGUAACUCUUUCUGGGUACUUCCUGUUGGAAAGGAGUGCUGUGGGCCGGGCGCGGUGGCUCACGACUGUAAUUUCAGCACUUUAGGAGGCCAAGGUGGGUGGAUAAUGAGGUCAGGAGUUCAAGACCAGCCAACAUGGUGAAACCCAAUCUCUACUAAAAAUACAAAAAUUAGCUAGGCGUGAUGGCAUCUGCCUGUAUUCCCAGCUACGCAGGAAGCUCAGGCAGAAGAAUUGCUUGAACCUGGGAGGCAGAAGUUGCAGUGAGCUGAGAUCAUGCCAUUGCACUCCAGCCUGUGUGACAGAGCAAGACUCCAUCUCAAAAAACAAAAAAAGAGAGAAAAAAUGAAA
rnacentral:lncRNA from 1 species